rnacentral:lncRNA from 1 species
UGUACCAACGGCUCCGGUUGCGUCUCCAGUUGUGGCCGCCGUGCCUCCAGUUGUGACGGCUCCAGUGUCGUCUCCACCUGUGGCAACUCCUCCAGUUGCGACACCACCCGUGGUUAUUACGGCUCCACCAGUGGCUACUCCAGUUGUGGCUCCUCCUGUCACUACUCCGGUUGUGGCUCCACCCGUGGCGACACCGGUAACGUCACCACCUUUGGCAACUCCAGUGGCGUCUCCACCUUUGGCAACUCCAGUCACUGCUCCGGUUGUCUCUCCACCUUUGGCUACUCCAGUUACUGCGCCCGUGAUAGCUCCUCCAGUCGCGACUCCAGUGUCAACCCCACCAGUGGCUGCUCCAGUUGUUACGCCCGUGGCUGCGCCCGUGGUGACUCCAGC